UUGGGCACUCUAAUGAGACUGCCGGUGACAAACCGGAGGAAGUGGGGAUGACGUCAAUCAUCAUGCCCCUUAUGACCUGGGCUACACACGUGCUACAAUGGUUGGUACAACGAGUUGCGAGUCGGUGACGGCGAGCUAAUACUCUUAAAGCCAAUCUCAGUUCGGAUUGUAGGCUGCAACUCGCCUACAUGAAGUCGGAAUCGCUAGUAAUCGCGGAUCAGCACGCCGCGGUGAAUACCGGUUCCCGGGCCUU
rnacentral:rRNA from 1 species